AUCAUUAUUCUUGAUUGGUUUUUUAAAAUAAAUUUUUAUCUUUUCUCAUAUAUUUUACCAUGUGAACUUUAGAAUGAGCUUAUUUGGUUUUCCUCUCCUAAUAUUGAUACUGGCUUAAUACAGGGUUGACAAGAGAAGCCAUAUUGUAGAGGGGAAACCAUGUUGUGACUUGGAAUGACCUCUGACUAACUCUGGACUUUAUGGCCCUUCCCAGCUGCUCAAGCAGAUCGUGCCCUUUGUGUGGUAACAAUAUCAUCAAUAGUGAGAGUUCCUGUUGCUCCACAUCCUCUUCAGCAUUUAAUGUUGUCAGCUUUCUGGAUUUUGGCCAUUCUGAUACGGUUCCAGCACCAGAGACAGCAUCCACCUAACCUGGGCCCAAGCUUUUUCUCUCUCCAAAUGCUGACAUGAAAAUCUUUGUCCUCCUCCAGUGGCUUGGCCUAUGGGACAGCCCUCUGACUUACAGAUCCUUCUGCAUUACUUAGAAACAUCUGUUAGGGCCACACACCAAGGACAGCACACAGAGCUCCACUGAGCACAAGCUCAAGAAGUCCAGGCCCUGCAGCCAACUGCUGACAAUUAAAAGCCACGGAUGGGACAAAUCUUCUACCUCCUUGAACCAGCCCUUACCUCCUGUGACUUAGUCUCCUACCUCCCCCAGCUUGCCAGGCCCACCAGAGACAAAUGGAUACCUUCUCAAGCCCCCCAGAGCCCCAGACCUCCGCUCUGGCAGGCCCUUCUCUUCCUGCUGCAGCUGGCCAUUCUGGAUCCAGCUUGCAGCAUUGUCCAGCCAAAGGUCAUCCUCUCCUGUGUCUGGGGAGGAGAAAGUUACCCGUCAGGGAAACUCUGGCCCAGCUGGUGCCCCGCCAACCCCACAACUUGUAAGCACCUGGCAGCAUCCUCAGGCUGCACCUCUCCUCGCUUGGUCUGGCCUACAUCCCUCACCUCAGCUUCUGGUCCAGCAAGCUCUUCUUUCAAAGCUGUUCUUACACCCCUGAGCCAUGGGCUUGAUGACAUCAGCUGCCACAGACUCCUCUUUAGUGCCUGACAUUGGUUGGGGGGGUCCCAUACAUGAGGCUCUGCCAGACCCCAUGGCUGGAAGAGAGAUGAAGGAGCCCAUCUGCCAGCCCUCUCUUCAACUCAGGGGGCCAGUGGGACUCAUUAAGAAAGGAAAACUGGCAUUGGGAACAGGGAAUAUGGGUGUCCUGGCCUCCAACUAGCCGUGUGACAACCUUCUCUCUCUGGAUCUCAGUGUCCUCUGCCGUAAGAGAGGGGCUUAAGCGAGAAGUUUUAAAAGGUCUUUUCAACUCCAGUUCUGUGUCUGAAAGCCUCCCUGAGCUGCUGCCCAGGGAUCAUCUGUCUCAGGAGAGAAAAAAGGAAACAGCUGAGAUCUUUGUUGCAGCUUCUCAUUUUCACUUACUAGGUCUUCACGAUGCCACAUGAUGAGACACGUCCAGAGCUUGCUAUAGCACUAGAAGCUGGAGGGGGAAAAGGGUAACUCUGGGGCUGAAGAAUGCAGGCUCCAAAAUUUGCCAGAUCUGCUCCAGUCUUGGGGCUAAAGACACGGGCUCUGCCUUCUCCUGAGUGCUGUGCGGACACUUCAAAUGGCAGGGACUUCUACUUCUUCCCCGCAGCCUCAAGGUGGGACAAUUCUGAAGUGUUAUCUCAGGGUCAGCUCCCCAAGGGAUCAGCUGAGGCUCCUUUGCAACUUCAUGGCACUUCAGAUUCUCCUCUGCUCAUUCCUGCUUCCUUCACCUCUCUCAGGUGUUGAUUCUAAGUCGAGAGGUCUCCCCAGUAAACCUCCUGCAUAUAGAUAUCUAUCUUAGAGUCUGCUUCUCAGGGAACUGGGCCUAUAGGAACACAACACACGGUCUGCAGGUCCUGCCUGACCCAGCCCCUGCCAGUCUUCCUGGCCCCGCUCCGCUCCAGUGCGCUUGCACUCCACUCUGCAGCCUCACUGAACUCCCACUUCCCUACACACCAAGUUCUUAUUUGCUCUGCCCAAAUUCAUGCAUGGUGUUUUCACAUAAUUUGUUCAACAGAUAUUCAUUUUGCUACUGUAUCAAUCAUGGUCCUGGCAGAAAGAGAUGGUCCACUUGAAAGGGGGAACUGAACAAAGUUUAAUGGAGGGGCUAGUUAUUUUUUUAUUUUAUUUAUUUAUUUAGUGAGGAAGAUCAGCCCCAAGCUAACAUCCAUGCCAAUCCUCCUCUUUUU